AUACGUAGGUGGCAAGCGUUGUCCGGAAUUACUGGGUGUAAAGGAUGCGUAGGCGGAUAUGUAAGUCAGAUGUGAAACCCCCGGGCUUAACCCGGGGCAUGCAUUUGAGACUGCAUAUCUAGAGUGCAGGAGAGGAAAGCGGAAUUCCUAGUGUAGCGGUGAAAUGCGUAGAUAUUAGGAAGAACACCAGUGGCGAAGGCGGCUUUCUGGACUGUAACUGACGCUGAUGCAUGAAAGCGUGGGGAGCAAACAGGAUUAGAUACCCUGGUAGUCCACGCCGUAAACGAUGGGUACUAGGUGUGGGAGGUAUCGACCCCUUCCGUGCCGCAGUAAACACAAUAAGUACCCCACCUGGGGAGUACGGUCGCAAGAUUAA
rnacentral:rRNA from 1 species